CCCUUAGAUGUUCUGGGCCGCACGCGCGCUACACUGAUGCAUUCAACGAGCCUAUCCUUGACCGACAGGUCCGGGUAAUCUUGAAUCUGCAUCGUGACGGGGAUAGAUUAUUGCAAUUAUUAAUCUUCAACGAGGAAUGCCUAGUAGGCGCAAGUCAUCAGCUUGCGUCGAUUACGUCCCUGCCCUUUGUACACACCGCCCGUCGCUCCUACCGAUUGGGUGUGCUGGUGAAAUGUUCGGAUCGGCCGUUUGUCGCGGUUUCCGCGUCAUGUGGCUGAGAAGUUCAUUAAACCCUCCCACCUAGAGGAAGGAGAAGUCGUAACA
rnacentral:rRNA from 1 species